GUCUUUUUUGGUGCUAACUAAAAACAUUUUUAAGAGGCAAAUUAAACAUUUUAGAAAUCCUCAAAUAUGAAUGCAUUUGCUCCCCAGUAAAUCUGAGGCAGAUUAAGAUCCUGUUAAUACUUUUGUCUCUCUUGAAAGCAACCUAAGUGUGGAAAUUCCUUUAACCACCUGCUGUCUUGUUCUCACAUAGAGUAUCUCUUAUCUAAAAUACUUGGGACCAGAAGUGUUCAGGAUUUUGGAUUUGUUCAGAUUUCAGAAUAUUUGCAUCAUACUUACCAGUUCACCAUCCCUAAUACAAGAGUACAAAUUCCACAAAACUCCACUAAGCAUUUUCUUUGUGCAUCAUGUUGGCACCGAAAAGGUUUUGGAUUUUGGAACAUGUUGGAUUUCAGAUUUUCAGAUUAGGGAUACUCAACUUGUAUAUUUUCACAGGGGCCCAGUGCUCAAGAACAUUUUUUUUUCCAUGAGCUAAACAUAGAUAACAUUAAGGAAAAUGACAUUUAUUUAACUAAAUUCUAAUUACAGUGAGCAAAAACUUGUCAUGCAAAUUAAGUCCAAAGAACUAGACUUUGCUCUUUGGUAACAACAUUACCUCCUCUUCUCAUUACUAGUUAAAAACUAAAAAGCAGGAGGGAAACAAAAAGGAGGGGAGGACAAGUAUUAUGAUUAUAAAGAAAUGAUCUUACAUAUUAGAAACAAUUUAGUUUAGAAUUUGAAUUCAGAUGUGAUUAAAUAAUCUGACAUUUAAAAUCAGCUUCAAAUGUCCCAUAAAAGUCUUACUUGUAAAAAAAGGUUAUGCUGAAUCAUUUACUCAUAUAAAUUUAUAUGUAGCAAGGUUAUAUAAAUUGGUCAAAAGUGUGUUUAGUUUCCAGUAUUUUCCCAUUAAAGCUAAAAAUCGCCUCUCAAAACAAAGUCAGCUGCCUCUAAUUCAGACUUUCUUAUCCUUUCAAGCAUCACUUUCAAGUUGUGAGUUUUUUAAAAAUAUCAGUUACCAUCAAAACUUAAGACACAAGUAGGCCAGGUGUGGUGGCUCACUCCUGUAAAUCCCAACACUUUGGAAGGCCGAGGCGG
rnacentral:lncRNA from 10 species